rnacentral:rRNA from 1 species
UACAGAGGGGGCAAGCGUUAUUCGGAAUUAUUGGGCGUAAAGGGCGCGUAGGCGGCCUGGCAAGUGGAAGGUGAAAUCCCUCGGCUUAACCGAGGAACUGCCUCCCAAACUGCUUGGCUUGAGACCGGGAGAGGUGAGUGGAAUUCCACGUGUAGCGGUGAAAUGCGUAGAGAUGUGGAGGAACACCAGUGGCGAAGGCGACUUUCUGGCCUAUAACUGACGCUGAGGCGCGAAAGCGUGGGGAGCAAACAGG